rnacentral:rRNA from 1 species
UACGUAGGGUGCGAGCGUUGUCCGGAAUUAUUGGGCGUAAAGAGCUUGUAGGCGGUUUGUCGCGUCUGCUGUGAAAUUCCAGGGCUUAACCCUGGGCUUGCAGUGGGUACGGGCAGACUAGAGUGUGGUAGGGGAGACUGGAAUUCCUGGUGUAGCGGUGAAAUGCGCAGAUAUCAGGAGGAACACCGAUGGCGAAGGCAGGUCUCUGGGCCGAUACUGACGCUGAGGAGCGAAAGCGUGGGGAGCGAACAGG